CAGCACGUGGCCAUCGAUAGCACAAUCCUACAUUACUAUUCACUCUUGGUCAUCCGCCUUGAAACAGAUCUCAGUGCAUCAGUACCAGACAAGCAAGAUAACAGCUGAAAGCUCCAGACCACCUGCAAAUAUCAGCUGUCUCAUGCCUAGAACAAGUCACUCAGGAUUCCAAAGCUCCCCGAGGGCAAAUGAAGCCCAGAUCAUAAGCCCUCCGUAUUAUAAUGAGUGACAGAACAUCCCCAAGCAGACUCUUUCGUCUUCACCCAAGGCACCUCCUCUGUGUUAACCCUGCAGUGAAAAGCAGGGAAAUAGCUGUGUGGUUUGGACAGUCUCUCAGCUCCCUGCACUCUCA
ensembl:lncRNA